UACGUAGGUGGCAAGCGUUGUCCGGAAUUAUUGGGCGUAAAGGGCGUGUAGGUGGAUUUUUAAGUCGUGUGUCUAAGUGCGGAGCUCAACUCCGUAUAGGCGCAGGAAACUGGGAAUCUUGAGUGCAGGAGAGGAAAGUGGAAUUCCCAGUGUAGCGGUGAAAUGCGUAGAUAUUGGGAGGAACACCAGUGGCGAAGGCGACUUUCUGGACUGUGUCUGACACUGAGGCGCGAAAGCUAGGGGAGCGAACGGG
rnacentral:rRNA from 1 species